rnacentral:rRNA from 1 species
AGAGUUUGAUCAUGGCUCAGGACGAACGCUGGCGGCGUGCCUCAAACAUGCAAGUCGAGCGAGGGGAGACCGAACCGCAAGGGGAGGUUGAACCUAGCGGCGAACGGGUGAGUAACACGUGGGCAACCUGCCCUUAAGACUGGGAUAACGGCUCGAAAGGGCCGCUAAUACCGGAUAAUGUCGUAAAGUCGCAUGGCUUUGCGAAGAAAGGGGAAACCCGCUUUUGGAUGGGCCCGCGUCCCAUCAGCUAGUUGGUAGGGUAAUGGCCUACCAAGGCGACGACGGGUAGCCGGUCUGAGAGGAUGGACGGCCACACUGGGACUGAGAUACGGCCCAGACUCCUACGGGAGGCAGCAGUUGGGAAUAUUGGGCAAUGGGCGAAAGCCUGACCCAGCGACGCCGCGUGAGGGAAGAAGGCCUUCGGGUCGUAAACCUCUGUCAUUGGGGACGAAGGAAGUGACGGUACCCAAGGAGGAAGCCCCUGCUAACUACGUGCCAGCAGCCGCGGUAAUACGUAGGGGGCUAGCGUUGUCCGGAGUUACUGGGCGUAAAGGGCGUGUAGGCGGCUUGUUAAGUCAGGUGUGAAAUUCCAGGGCUUAACUCUGGAACUGCGCUUGAAACUGGCGGGCUAGAGGACAGGAGAGGGAAGUGGAAUUCCCGGUGUAGCGGUGAAAUGCGUAGACAUCGGGAGGAACACCAGUGGCGAAGGCGGCUUCCUGGACUGUACCUGACGCUGAGGCGCGAAAGCUAGGGGAGCAAACAGGAUUAGAUACCCUGGUAGUCCUAGCCGUAAACGAUGAGUGCUAGGUGUGGAGGGUUGAAAUCCCUCCGUGCCGGAGUUAACACAAUAAGCACUCCGCCUGGGGAGUACGGCCGCAAGGCUAAAACUCAAAUGAAUUGACGG